rnacentral:tRNA from 1 species
UCUUAGAUGACUGAGAUAUAAGUGUUAGAUUUUUAAUCUAGAAACGGCAAAAGUGCCUCUAAGAACCA